UCGGGAAUUUUGGGCAAUGGGCGAAAGCCUGACCCAGCAACGCCGCGUGAAGGAUGAAGUAUUUCGGUAUGUAAACUUCGUAAGAAUAGGAAGAAUAAAUGACGGUACUAUUUGUAAGGUCCGGCUAACUACGUGCCAGCAGCCGCGGUAAUACGUAGGGACCAAGCGUUGUUCGGAUUUACUGGGCGUAAAGGGCGCGUAGGCGGUGUGUCAAGUCAGUUGUGAAAUCUCCGGGCUUAACUCGGAACGGUCAACUGAUACUGUCACACUAGAGUACAGAAGGGGCAAUCGGAAUUCUUGGUGUAGCGGUGAAAUGCGUAGAUAUCAAGAGGAACACCUGAGGUGAAGACGGGUUGCUGGGCUGACACUGACGCUGAGGCGCGAAAGCCAGGGGAGCAAACGGGAUUAGAUACCCCAGUAGUCCCUGAGCGGGCUGGCAAGGCGCAU
rnacentral:rRNA from 1 species